GAUGAACGCUGGCGGCGUGCCUAAUACAUGCAAGUCGAGCGAACGGACGAGAAGCUUGCUUCUCUGAUGUUAGCGGCGGACGGGUGAGUAACACGUGGAUAACCUACCUAUAAGACUGGGAUAACUUCGGGAAACCGGAGCUAAUACCGGAUGAUAUUUUGAACCGCAUGGUUCAAAAGUGAAAGACGGUCUUGCUGUCACUUAUAGAUGGAUCCGCGCUGCAUUAGCUAGUUGGUAAGGUAACGGCUUAUCAAGGCAACGAUGCAUAGCCGACGUGAGAGGGUGAUCGGCCACACUGGAACUGAGACACGGUCCAGACGCCUACGAGAGGCAGCAGUAGGGAAUCGUCCGCAAUGGGCGAAAGCCUGACGGAGCAACGCCGCGUGAGUGAUGAAGGUCUUCGGAUCGUAAAACUCUGUUAUUAGGGAAGAACAUAUGUGUAAGUAACUGUGCACAUCGUGACGGUACCUAAUCAGAAAGCCACGGCUAACUACGUG
rnacentral:rRNA from 1 species